rnacentral:rRNA from 1 species
GACCGAUAGUGGACAAAGUACCGUGAGGGAAAAAUGAAAAGAAACAAAAGUGAAAUAGAAUUUGAAAUUGGUUACUUUAGAAGCAAUUAUUCGUUUAAAGAAUAAUGUACCUUUUGCAUAAUGGGUCAACAAAUUGAAUAAAAAAGCAAUUUGUAUAAAAGUAAUGAAAGUAAUUCCCUAACGGGGAAUGCAGUUGUUUUAUUCAAACUCGAAACCGAGUGAUCUAGUUAUGAACAAAUUGAAGAUAUUUUAAAAACGUAUCGGAGGAUUGCACCCGUGUAUGUAGCAAUAUACUGGGAAGAUUUGUAGCUAGGGGUGAAAGGCUAAUCAAACUCGGAUAUAGCUAGUUUUCUACGAAAUCUAUUGAGGUAGUUUGGUAAUAAAAAAUUGAAGUGGGUAUAGCACUUACCAAUGUUGGUUAAACUAAAAAUAAUUUCAAAUUGUUAGUUACCAAGCAGAAUAUAGGCGCAAAGGUCUAUUUUUUCAAAAGGGAAACAGCCCAGACCUCCGGCUAAAGUCCAUAAAAAAAUUUGAGUGUAAAAAAAGAAUUUUGGAUGAUUAGAAUUGGCAAGUUGGCUUAGAAGCAGCCAUCCUUUAAAGAAAGCGUAACAGCUCGUCAAUCCUAGAAUUUAAAUAAUUCUGAAAAUGUAACAGGACUAAGAUUUUUACUUAAGCUAAGGUUGCUUUGAUUAUAAAAUUAAGUAAAGGCAAGGUAGUAGAACGACCAUUAAAGAUAUAUAUAUGUUUUCGAUAGAAAAAGUAUAUGGUGUGAUAAUGUUGACACGAGUAACGUUUAGGUUGGUGAAGAACAACCUCAUCAAAUAUGUAAGGAUUCCGAUGUAAAGUAACUUUCAUCGGGUUAGUCGGUCCCUAAUAGUUCUCUAUUUAUAAAAUAAGACUAGAUGGGUUAUUGGUCAGGCAACUACGAGUUUGCAUUAGUGUUAAUAACACUAAGCGCCCGUGUUAAUAAUAAAAUGCUUGACCUUUUGAGAAAAGUGACUUUUUAUUUAUUCAUGUUUAUUAAACUAAUUGCUUACGUGACUAUAUAAAUACUAGAAAAAGCUGUCUCAUAAAAAAACCGUACUUAAAGCCGACACAGGUAUUUUGAUAGAGUAUAUUAAGAUGAUUAAAAGAACAACACUGAAGGAACUCGGCAAAUUGACUCCGUAACUUCGGGAAAAGGAGUGCUUGCAUAGAGUAAUCUAUGUGUGCGUAACAGAAUAGGGGGUAGCGACUGUUUAAUAAAAACACAGGACUCUGCUAAAUUGAAAAAUGAUGUAUAGAGUCUGACAUCUGCCCGGUACCAUUAGAUAAACAAACGAGUUAUUGCUUGUGAGUAAAGGAUUGGUGAACGGCGGCUGUAACCAUAACGGUCCUAAGGUAGCGAAAUUCCCUGUCGGGUAAGUUCCGACCUGCAUGAAUGAUGUAACGACUUCCCCACUGUCUCCAGUGUUGCUUUAGUGAAACUGAAUUUGUUGUGAAGAUGCAAUAUUAAUAGUAAGUAGACGGAAAGACCCUGUACACCUUUACUAUAACACGGGAUUGUACGUUUGUUGUGUUUAUGUAGAAUAACUCUUAAGCUUAUAACUCACGUUACGCAAGUAACUUUGAUGAGGCGUCGAUGAAAUAAGAGUUUUGCGGAACAAAUCUCUGUAUAGUCACAUUAAAAAUCCAGUGUGGUUAGUUUAACUGGGGUGGUUGUCUUCUAAAAUGUAACGAAGAUGUAUAAAGGUAUAUUUUGAAUUUAAUGGUAAACUUAUGCUUAACUGUAAGAAUUACACUUCGAACAGAGACGAAAGUCGAUCAUAAUGAUCCAAUAGUGCUGUGUGGAAAGGCUAUUGCUCAACGGAUAAAAGGUACGUCAGGGAUAACAGGCUAAUAAAUCUUUAGAGUCCAUAUUUCCAGGUUUGUUUGGCACUUCGAUGUCGACUCAUCACAUCCUGGAGCUGCAGGAGGUUCCAAGGGUUGGGCUGUUCGCCCAUUAAAGUGGUACGUGAGUUGGGUUUAGAACGUUGUGAAACAGUUCGGUUCCUAUCUUUUACUUAUUUUAGAAUAAUAAAAUUAUAUCCCUCGUACGAGAGGAUUGGGGUGUGUAUGUCACUGGUACUUCAGUUAUUUUACUAAAUGGUAAGCUGAAAAGCUAAACAUAAAUUUAGAAUCGCUGAAAGCAUAUAAGCGAGAAAAUGUUUUUUAUUUAUUCUAUUUUUCUACUGAUAGAUUAUCAGUCCCUUAUAAGAUUUAGAGCUAGCAAUGGAUGGUCUUUAGAAUUGGGAAAAAUUUGAUUUUUGUAUUUUUUGUCUUUUCUCUUUUUUUUUUGUAGAAGUUUUCUUUUGAAGUAAUGAUGACGUUUUUCAGUUUUAAUACAUUUGUCUUUUCUUUUUUUUUUAACUUUAUUUUUUUUAUACCCCGUAUAAGUAUUACGAAUCUUUAUAAUUCCGUAUCUUUCCUGUUCGUAAAAUCAGUAAAUCUUUUUGACAACACACGUUCCUUGGACCGGUAUCAAUUAAACUUACCCGAUCCAGCUACCCCUAUUGCUUUUGGUAUUCAUAGUUUACAUAAUCAUAUUUUGUUCUUUUUAUGUGUUAUUUUUGCUGCUGUUUUUUUCUUAUUAUUGAGUAUUCUUUAUCAUUUUUCUUUUUAUAACGAUAAAAUUUAUAUUUUAAACAAAUAUUUAUUUUUUAUACCAAAUUUUAUUCUUAGUCGUUUGUUUUUUUUUUGUUUAUAUUGUAGCCGUAGAAUUUUGAUGCUUUUUGAAUUUCCGAUGUUUGACCCUAUCUUUGGUCCUCGAAUUUCUCGUUUUUCUUAUUACGUUUGAAAAAUCUUCGUAGGUCCUUUUACAGUUAUAAUCGCUGUAAUCGUCUCUGGGUUUUUCUCUCUAUGAGAGGGCAAGAAAUUUGAGCUGCGGGCGUAUAAGGACGCGAAGACUCGUAUGA